rnacentral:rRNA from 1 species
AACGAACGCUGGCGGCAUGCCUAACACAUGCAAGUCGAACGAGACCUUCGGGUCUAGUGGCGCACGGGUGCGUAACGCGUGGGAACCUGCCCUUAGGUUCGGAAUAACUCCCCGAAAGGGGUGCUAAUACCGGAUAAUGUCUUCGGACCAAAGAUUUAUCGCCUUGGGAUGGGCCCGCGUUGGAUUAGCUAGUUGGUAGGGUAAAAGCCUACCAAGGCGACGAUCCAUAGCUGGUCUGAGAGGAUGAUCAGCCACACUGGGACUGAGACACGGCCCAGACUCCUACGGAGGGCAGGAGUGGGGAAUAUUGGACGAUGGGCGAAAGCCUGAUCCAGCAGUGCCGCGUGAGUGAUGAAGGCGUUAGGGAUGUAAAGCUCUUUUACCCGGGAUGAUAGUGACGGUACCGGGAGAAUAAGCUCCGGCUAACUCCGUG